rnacentral:tRNA from 1 species
GGAGGGUAAGCUCAGUGGUUAGAAUACAUGCUUAGCAUGCAGGAGGUCCUGGGUUCAAUCCCCAGUACCUCCA